rnacentral:rRNA from 1 species
AGGGUUUGGAUUCCUGGGCUCAGGAUGAACGCUGGCGGCGUGCUUAAUGCAUGCAAGUCGAACGAGGACUCCUUCUGAUAGGUAACUUUCGAAGGACUCCUAGUGGCGAACGGGUGAGUAACACGUGAGCAACCUGCCCCGAAGACCGGGAUAGCCCAUGGAAACGUGGAUUAAUACCGGAUACCCUCGAGGGACCGCAUGGCCCCAUGAGGAAAGGCUCCGGCGCUUCGGGAUGGACUCGCGGCCUAUCAGCUUGUUGGUGAGGUAACGGCUCACCAAGGCUCUGACGGGUAGCUGGUCUGAGAGGACGAUCAGCCACACUGGGACUGAGACACGGCCCAGACUCCUACGGGAGGCAGCAGCAGGGAAUAUUGCACAAUGGGCGCAAGCCUGAUGCAGCGACGCCGCGUGAGGGAUGAAGGCUUUCGAGUUGUAAACCUCUUUCAGUGGGGAAGAAGCGCAAGUGACGGUACCCACACAAGAAGGCCCGGCCAACUACGUGCCAGCAGCCGCGGUAAUACGUAGGGGCCAAGCGUUAUCCGGAUUUAUUGGGCGUAAAGAGCUCGUAGGCGGCUUGGCAAGUCGGUCGUGAAAGUCCGAGGCUCAACCUCGGAAUGCCGGUUCGAAACUGCCAUGGCUAGGGUUCGGUAGAGGAGAGUGGAAUUCUCGGUGUAGCGGUGAAAUGCGCAGAUAUCGAGAGGAACACCAGUUAGCGAAGGCGGCUCUCUGGGCCGAUUACCGUACGCUGAGGAGCGAAAAGCGCGGGGAGCCAAACAGGAUUAC